AAAAAAAAGUUUAUGACUGAGCCAGCCCUGAUGGCCUAUUGGUUAAAGCUUGGCAUGCUCCUUUUCAGUGGCCCGGGUUCGGUUCCCCAGCAUGGAACCACGCCACUCAUCUGUCAGUAGCCAUGCUGUGGAGGC